rnacentral:lncRNA from 1 species
CGCGCCGGAGCCGGAGCCGCCGCUGAUAGCAGCCCGGGCUGACUCUACUGGAGAGACCCAUUUGGGAUAAAAAUCCUACCGGGGAGUCCGGAGGGGUGCAAGGGACCCGGGCCAAACUCCUCAUUUUACUGCAAGAAACUGAAGUUGAGUGAAGUGAUUGUGAAUCUAAGUGUCUUGCCCAAGGCCACCAGAGAUAAGGAAACUGAGAUUGAGAGACAGACUGAAGUGACUCAUCUCUUCAAAGCAUCUCUUCCAGUCUCUCCAGCAGCCAGAACUGUGGGUCGGAGUCUCUCCAUUCUGAAGGAGAGUUUCGGCCCAGUCUCGGGGAGGGGCCCAAAGCACAGUGAAGGGCCCACUGCUCUGUGUGGGACAGGAAGCUUCUCUAAAAGCCAAGGAAUGGCCUGCUGCUCCCCAGCCAUGGCCUGUAUUGGAAAGAACACAAUGAAUUUUGAGUUGGGUGUUGAGAAACUGCCCCCUCUCUGAUGACAUUUGAUUUAAAGGAGCUGACCGGUGUUUCUUUUUUCAUUAACCCACUUAAAUGAACUUAAUAGGGUUCUAAUGAGGAUUAAUAGGAACUAAUAAGGCAUAAUUAGGAUAAUUAAUUUUCUUGGUUUCAUACAUUUUAAGAAGGGGCCAUUUACAUUCAGAAAAAGUGUUAAUUAUAUUGGAACCAUUGUCUGAGCUUCUGACAAAAAAAUAGAGAUCCUUUCUCCUGCCCAUCAGACCUUUACUAUUUCCCAGAGGGGUCUGGCAAUGGACUGAGCACGACAGACAGUUAAUUCCCAAAGCCAGAGUCAGCGGUGGCGUUCUGCCUCCCUUUCUGACAUGGCCCCAAGCCUUUAAAGGCUGUUUUUAUUUUGCUGUUUGUUUUGUUUUGUUCUUUACACUUUCGCUUUGUUUGCAUCCUUGUCAUAAAUUGGAGAUGGGUUAGGGAAGGAAGGAAAAUCAAUUUACUUCCAAGAACUACUUAAGCUGUCCUACGGAAAUGUGACUCUGCUUUAUUGAUGGUCAUUAUCUUUGCGAUAAUUUUAUUAUUUCAAUAAUUUUGGUUCUGUUCCGAUCAUGCUUGCGCAGCUCUUUUUUGGGUCUCCAUUUGGGCCUCUGUCUUUCUUUUUUUUAUCACAUUUCCUUUAUUGAUUACCACUGUUCUAAAAGCAGGAUGGGCUAAAAUCCUCCCAGGGCUCAGCUGCCAGAGCCUUCCAUUUUCAGGUUACUUUUUAUCUACUGUAUGGAGCAUGUGUAGACCUAAUUAUUUCCAUACUGUCUGAAUCGUGAGAUUGGAAGCUCCUGGAAGGCAAGGAUUGAUUCUCCACUCCCAGCUCCCAAUCCCCAACCCCCAACCCCACACCCUUGCUUAGCACUGUACCCGGCACAUAAUAAGAAC